UAAUUCCUCAAAUGACAAAAUGAAUUUAUCUACAUUUCUAAUAAUGAAAUCAGCUUCAUCACUGGAAUGGGAUCCUGGUAGCAGACUUCUCAGUCAUCUUGCAGCAAUGUGGGAUGACCAGAAGACAGCAGCAGGAAUUAAACUAAAGCCAAGAAACUGAGCACAGCUCCUUGGACAAAUCUUAAUCUUGGCUGAUGCCAUAUCUGGUGGGGGUGAGCUGAAGUGUACUUCACUGUGCAUAGAGAGAGAAACCUGCUUUUGAAACUCCUUCCAGAAG
rnacentral:lncRNA from 1 species